UACGGAGGGAGCUAGCGUUGUUCGGAAUUACUGGGCGUAAAGCGCACGUAGGCGGCUUCGUAAGUUAGAGGUGAAAGCCCGGGGCUCAACUCCGGAACUGCCUUUAAGACUGCAUCGCUUGAAUCCAGGAGAGGUGAGUGGAAUUCCGAGUGUAGAGGUGAAAUUCGUAGAUAUUCGGAAGAACACCAGUGGCGAAGGCGGCUCACUGGACUGGUAUUGACGCUGAGGUGCGAAAGCGUGGGGAGCAAACAGG
rnacentral:rRNA from 1 species